GCUUACGGCCAUACCACCCUGAGCACGCCCGACCUCGUCUGAUCUCGGAAGCUAAGCAGGGCUGGGCUUGGUUAGUACUUGGAUGGGGGAAUACCUGGUGCUGUAAGCC
rnacentral:rRNA from 1 species